UUAAACAGCUUAUCAACAAAACUGGGCGGCAUUCAAUGGUAGUUUGUUUCAAGUUUCUUCAGAGAAGAAAUCCUGGCAACAAAGCAGACAAGACUGUCUUCAAAAAGGUGCAGACCUGAUGAUUAUUAACAGCCGAGGGGAACAGAACUUUGUGAACCAGCUCAAGAUGUGUUUGUGGAUUGGACUGACUGACUCAGAGACAGAGGGGACAUGGAAAUGGGUGGAUGGGACUCGCAUGACCACAAGCUACUGGAAUAGUGGGGAACCAAAUGGUGGCAGAAAUGAAAACUGUGGAGAGAUAAAAACUUAUGACUCAGAAAAAAGCUGGAACGAUGAAUCAUGUUCCAAUGAAAAAUUCUGGAUAUGUGAGAAGAGAGUUUCUCCAUAACUUAACAUCCACGCCCAAAAAAUAAUGCAUAACACAGAGCCAUGAGAUCAACUCCUGAAAUGAAGCAGAACAGAAAGCAGUGGACAUUUACAGCGGGUAAAAUAAGUAUUGAACACGUCACCAAUUUUCUGAGUAAACAUAUUUCUAAAGGUAUUAUUGAAAAAAAUUCUCGCCAUAUAUCAGUAACAACCCAUCCAAUCCACACAUGCAAGGAAAUUAAACCAGAUGCCCAUAAAUUAAUCCAUGUUUGAUAGCGAAAACUGACACAGGGAAAAAGUAUUGAACACAUGAAGAAGGUGCAAAGAGUCAUGACACCAAUUUAAAACUAUCAGUAAUAAGAUAGCAAUCCUGCCACUUAAUGCAAAUUAAUAUCACCUGAUUCAGUCCCAACUUAUGGGCUAUAAAAAGGUGAUGAUGAUGAUGAUGAUGAAGCCAUUUAUUUGCCACUUGCAGUUGCCUGCAGCAAGACUUGACCUCUCCCGAUCAUACAUACAAUACACAAACAUCACAUUGGGUUGACAGGUCAGAACAGGUAGCGUAACGAAAAAACAAUGAAAUGUACAACACAAUAGUGGAAUGUAGGAGAGAAAAAGAGAACUCAGACUGAGCUCCUAGUGGGAGAUCAGUAUAAGAACAGAAAACAAACUCCUCAGCACAAUAAGCACAUGAAUCUUCACACCAUAACACCAUGAAAACACAUCACAAGCAACAGGGGUGGCUGCAUCGAGUGGGGGCAAGCUUUUGGCAUAUGGAGGGAGGAAGGGGGAUGAGUAUAUGUCUGUGUCUGUAUACGUGUGUGUAUGCAUGUAUAUGUGUAUCCUGUGUUCAACUGAGACAGUGUCCCUUCACCCAGAUGAGCGAAAUUAAACAGUCGUACAGCUGACCCAGGUGGCCUUGAAGGGUGUAGUGUAAAGAGUCGAAAACACAGUCCCGUUAUCAGGGAAAGCAGAGGCCUCGGGGGCCUUCAAGCAGCAACGUGGGUAGCCAGAUGAGAGAAAUGAUGGUUGUUUGGGUUUAGUGCGAACGCGCUGCAUCCAACUUUAAAGCCGUUCUAAAUGUCAGUCACUGGUCACCGGGUCUGUCAAUUCCCCGUUGAGGAGCUGUGAGCUUCUCCAAGAUCCAUGUUGCGUUCAAUAAGCACAGUGUGAGUACUCACAGCCCUUCCCAUCACUUACAUCAUAGCGGCUAGCCUUGUGGGGUUUUCUUUCUUCAAUCUUCGAAAAGCCAGGGCCAGCUCCGAUCAGCAAGAACCCAGUUACCAUGGUUCUGAAUAGGUAUAAAUCUUCUAUGUCCUCAAUUGAAAGUCCCACCAGGCACAAACGUCCCUCCGGUACAAUCAGGUUGUGAAGAGCUACAGAAAGACCUGAAAUUAGCUGAUACAAUUGUUUCAAAGAAAACAAUAAGUGACACAUUCAACUGCGAUGACCUAUA